rnacentral:pre_miRNA from 14 species
ACCUUCGGACUUUCUGGCUCUGUGUGUGUGUGUGUGUGUGUGUGUGUGUUCUCUGGCUCACACCAGGGACUUCAGCUACACGCCCAUCCU